rnacentral:rRNA from 1 species
GCCGGGNUCCUGCAUGGGGGUCCGGGAAAGCUCUGGCGGCGUGGGAUGGGGUCGCGUCCUAUCAGCUUGUUGGCGGGGUGAGGGCCCACCAAGGCUUCGACGGGUAGCCGGCCUGAGAGGGCGACCGGCCACAUUGGGACUGAGAUACGGCCCAGACUCCUACGGGAGGCAGCAGUGGGGAAUAUUGCACAAUGGGCGCAAGCCUGAUGCAGCGACGCCGCGUGCGGGAUGGAGGCCUUCGGGUUGUAAACCGCUUUUGUUUGGGAGCAAGCCCUUCGGGGUGAGUGUACCUUUCGAAUAAGCACCGGCUAACUACGUGCCAGCAGCCGCGGUAAUACGUAGGGUGCGAGCGUUAUCCGGAUUUAUUGGGCGUAAAGGGCUCGUAGGCGGUUCGUCGCGUCCGGUGUGAAAGUCCAUCGCCUAACGGUGGAUCUGCGCCGGGUACGGGCGGGCUGGAGUGCGGUAGGGGAGACUGGAAUUCCCGGUGUAACGGUGGAAUGUGUAGAUAUCGGGAAGAACACCAAUGGCGAAGGCAGGUCUCUGGGCCGUUACUGACGCUGAGGAGCGAAAGCGUGGGGAGCGAACAGGAUUAGAUACCCUGGUAGUCCACGCCGUAAACGGUGGAUGCUGGAUGUGGGGCCCUUCCACGGGUCCCGUGUCGGAGCCAACGCGUUAAGCAUCCCGCCUGGGGAGUACGGCCGCAAGGCUAAAACUCAAAGAAAUUGACGGGGGCCCGCACAAGCGGCGGAGCAUGCGGAUUAAUUCGAUGCAACGCGAAGAACCUUACCUGGGCUUGACAUGUUCCCGGCGACGGCGGAGACGUCGUUUCCCUUCGGGGCGGGUUCACAGGUGGUGCAUGGUCGUCGUCAGCUCGUGUCGUGAGAUGUUGGGUCAAGUCCCGCAACGAGCGCAACCCUCGCCCCGUGUUGCCAGCGCGUCAUGGCGGGAACUCACGGGGGACCGCCGGGGUUAACCCGGAGGAAGGUGGGGAUGACGUCAGAUCAUCAUGCCCCUUACGUCCAGGGCUUCACGCAUGCUACAAUGGCCGGUACAACGGGAUGCGACAUGGUGACAUGGAGCGGAUCCCUGAAAACCGGUCUCAGUUCGGAUCGGAGCCUGCAACC